CAGGAUUAGCAUGCAAGUCGAACGAAUCCCAGUUUUGUAGCAAUACAGAGCUGGGGGAAGUGGCGAAAGGGGCAGUAAUGCGUGGGUAACCUACCUCCGGGACGUGGAUAGCCAUUCUAACGAGUGGGUAAUACGCGGCGAUUUGAUUGAGGGGCAUCCCUUGGUCAGGAAAUGAAUUUCGCCUGGAGAGGGGCUCACGUGAUAUUAGCUAGUUGGUAGGGUAACGGCCUACCAAGGCAAAGAUGUCUAGCGGGUGUGAGAGCACGACCCGCGCCACUGGCACUGAGACACUGGCCAGACACCUACGGGUGGCUGCAGUCGAGGAUCUUUGGCAAUGAGCGCAAGCUUGACCAAGCGACGCCGCGUGUGCGAUGAAGGCCUUCGGGUUGUAAAGCACUGUCGAGGGGGACGAAGCCGCAAGGUUUGACCGAUCCCUGGAGGAAGCACGGGCUAAGUUUCGUGCCAGCCAGCCCGCGGGUAAGACCGAACCGGUGCGAAACCUUGNGUUUCCGGAAAUCCCUGGGGCUUAAAAGGG
rnacentral:rRNA from 1 species